GGCUACGAGGACGAACGCGUGGCGGCGUGCCUAACACAUGCAAGUCGAACGGGGUUAAGAGCUUCGGUUUUUAACUUAGUGGCGAACGGGUGAGUAACGCGUGAGAAACCUGCCUCUCAGGUGGGGGACAACAGUUGGAAACGACUGCUAAUACCGCAUAAUGUUACCGGAAGGCAUCUUCUGGUAACCAAAGCUUUAUGUGCUGAGAGAUGGUCUCGCGUCUGAUUAGCUAGUUGGUGGGGUAACGGCUCACCAAGGCGACGAUCAGUAGCCGGUCUGAGAGGAUGAACGGCCACAUUGGGACUGAGAUACGGCCCAGACUCCUACGGGAGGCAGCAGGUGGGGAAUAUUGGGCAAGUGGGGGAAACCCUGACCCAGCAACGCCGCGUGAAGGAAGAAGGCUUUCGGGUUGUAAACUUCUUUUAGCAGGGACGAAGGACGUGACGGUACCUGCAGAAAAGCAACGGCUAACUACGUG
rnacentral:rRNA from 1 species